GACUGAUCCAAAGGUAAUGAGUUAUCUCAAAUGAGUGUUCAAAGUCAGUUACAAGUCGAACUCCUUGUUCUACUACCUCCCCUCUUUUCACAACUGCACUUGACUGGUCUAAA
rnacentral:Y_RNA from 1 species